UACGGAGGGUGCAAGCGUUAUCCGGAUUCAUUGGGUUUAAAGGGAGCGUAGGCGGACUUGUAAGUCAGUGGUGAAAUCUGUGGGCUUAACCCACAAACUGCCAUUGAUACUGCAGGUCUAGAGUACAGUUGCCGUUGGCGGAAUAUGACAUGUAGUGGUGAAAUACUUAGAUAUGUCAUAGAACACCGAUUGCGAAGGCAGCUAACGAAGCUGUAACUGACGCUGAGGCUCGAAAGUGCGGGGAUCAAACAGG
rnacentral:rRNA from 1 species